rnacentral:rRNA from 1 species
CAAUAGCGUAUAUUAAUGUUGUUGCAGUUAAAAAGCUCGUAGUUGGAUUUCUGGUGGAAGCGACAGGUCCGCCCCUCACGGGGUGUGCACUAGCGUCUGUCUUUUGCCAUCCUUGCGAAGAAGCGGUGUGGCAUUAAGUUGUCGCGCCGUCUGACUCGCAUCGUUUACUGUGAAAAAAUUAGAGUGUUUAAAGCAGGCAAUUGCUGUGAAUACAUUAGCAUGGAAUAAUAAGAUAGGACUUUGGUACUAUUUUGUUGGUUUGCAUAUCAAAGUAAUGAUUAACAGGGACAGUUGGGGGUAUUCGUAUUUCGUUGUCAGAGGUGAAAUUCUUGGAUUUAUGAAAGACGAACUACUGCGAAAGCAUUUACCAAGGAUGUUUUCAUUA